UACGAAGGGGGCUAGCGUUGCUCGGAAUCACUGGGCGUAAAGCGCACGUAGGCGGACUCUUAAGUCGGUGGUGAAAUCCUGGAGCUCAACUCCAGAACUGCCUCCGAUACUGGGAGUCUUGGAGUCCGGGAGAGGUGAGUGGAACUGCGAGUGUAGAGGUGAAAUUCGUAGAUAUUCGCAAGAACACCAGUGGCGAAGGCGGCUCACUGGCCCGGUACUGACGCUGAGGCACGAAAGCGUGGGGAGCAAACAGG
rnacentral:rRNA from 1 species